UACGUAGGUGGCAAGCGUUGUCCGGAAUUAUUGGGCGUAAAGCGCGCGCAGGCGCCUUUUAAGUCUGAUGUGAAAGCCCACGGCUCAACCGUGGAAGGUCAUUGGAAACUGAAAAGGCUUGAGUACAGAAGAGGAAAAGCGGAAAUUCCACGUGUAGCGGUGAAAAUGCGUUAGAGAUGUGGAGGAAACACCAGUGGCGAAGCGGCUU
rnacentral:rRNA from 1 species